rnacentral:lncRNA from 1 species
CUCUCUCUCUUAACUCACGCCUUUUCUCUUUCUUCUCUAGAGACCUCCGCCAGAGAAUGUCACUACCAUGUCCAAACUACCCCUCUCCUCUUUUCUCCCUCAUUCAAGAAAAAAUAGAACCCCAUUAAUUUUUGGCAUUGUUGAAAAAUCCAAACUUCGGUGACUACGAACUCCAAACCCUCUUUCCUUUCCUUUUGAUCAAGUUUUGCCUUUAAUGGAGAACAUCAAAUAUCUCAGAUGAACCAGAAAUAACAACAAACUACUACGUCCAGACCAACCCCUUUUCCUUCUAUUUUUUUCACUGAACAACUCUACCAUAUAUCUUGCUCAAGUUCCGCCAUUAAUGGCGAACUUCGAGCUCAAAGGAAUAGUUCUACAAAGGAGAAAAAUAAGGCAGCAACUCCACCAGCAACCUCUAAGCUUCAGCAAAUCCACAAAAACAACACAAUAACUCAGCAACCUUUGAAUCCGGUGAGUCACAAGAUCGGGUGAGUGACGACAACGACCUCGCGAUUCAAAUAUGGUUGGAAUGGUUGUCGCCGAUAAACAUUCAUCUUCUCUGAUAACCUUACUAUUCACUUUGACAAAUUAAAACUCUAAAUGUAUUGUUAGUGGAUAGUAAGACUUAGAUCUUUCCUUUUCUUCGUUUUAUUUGGUGAUUUUUGGAGUUCGUCAUUAUUAUACAUAUUUGUGUUUGUGUUGUGUAACUUGCGUUUAUGUUUUGUCUCUUAGACAAUUUUAUUCAUCACUAUGAUCAAGUUGUCUGCAAACUUUAUUAAUGAUGUCUUGAUUAUUUUUUGUUAUUAUACUAAUGUUACAAAUUUUAUUAUUCUUAUAACCUUUUAUUGAAGUUACUUUUAUUCUUCUUUGUUACUUUGUUGAUGUUGCUAUUUUGUAUGGAUUAUGACUUGAUUAUUCUAGGAUUCUAUGCUAAUGGUGCUAGUUUUAUUAUUCUCAUUUAUUUGUUAUUAAUUAUUUAUUGCUACAUUGUUGAUGUUGUUAUUUUAAUUAUUUGUUAUCAAUGUUUUGGUUGAUUAUUCAUUGCGACUUUGUUAAUGACUAAUUUAGUGAUUAUUUUCGAUACUUUUACAUUGACAAAGAAUGUUAAUUACUAGUUUGGCCAAUGAAGAAAUUUUUCGUCUAUUUUCGAGGCCUCCAGAAAUAAGAAGAUGAACAUUACGUAUAUAAAUACGUAAAAACAAAAAAAAUUGAGCGAUGACAAAAAUCUUAAAAUGUUUAAAAUUUUAUCCGAGCCCGCUUGUUAAAGAAAAUUAUAUUCUUUAUGAAUAUAUGCACACAUGACUUCUCAAUUCAUUUGAUAAUUAUUUAUUCGUUAUUAGAAGUGUUUAUACAAGUUAUCGAGAAUACUUAUCAGAUAAAAAGAAGAUUUUUAAAUUUUGUGUUUGUAUUUUUUAUUCUUGCACUUGUAUAAAUAUCAGUCAUAGUGAAAAUUUUAUUUUGGAACGUUGGGCGGGGAUAUUCUUUAUUUACGCAAUCUUCACCGAGUGUUUAGACAAAUUUAGGCCGUUACUAUUUAUAUAAAAGAAUUAAAUUGAUUUAGAUAUUAAUUGAAUAAUUCACACUUUUUACACUAAAUAUUACGUAAUCUUCUCUUUAAAACAAUUUUUUCUUUAUUCAAUCUUUUCAUUUUUAAUACAUAUUCUCAUGCACUUUCGUUUAUCUUCAUACACUUUUUAUAUACAUAUACAAUAAAAUAUGUAAUUUACACAUUUUUUAUAUAUAAAUUUUUUAUAUUAUCUUAAUACACAUUUUAUAUUUGUAUUUACAAAAAUUGAUUUUUUUCCUCGUUUAAUAAACCUAAGUCUGGCCGGAAAUCACAUUUGUGAAUUUUGAAAGGUGCUUAACCCUUUUGUUCAAAAUAAUUUGAACCCUUACCUAGAAUUUAAAUUGGCUCGUAGAUUAAAAACACAUCAUACAUGUUAAUAAAUAAAUAAGUUUCCUCAUUUUCUUAAAAAUUAGAUGGCGCUCUGUAUGGAGUUAAUUCUUUUUGAGUCCAUAAUGUUAUGCUUGUUUUGACCUUAGGCAAAAAUCGGGUAUGACGGUUUGGUGACUCAGCUGGAGAUUAAAGGUUCUAACCAUUACAAA